rnacentral:rRNA from 1 species
UACAGAGGUCUCGAGCGUUAGGCGGAAUCACUGGGCUUAAAGCGUGUGUAGGUGGAUCGUUAAGUACCUUGUGAAAUCCCACGGCUUAACCGUGGAACUGCUUGGUAUACUGGCGGUCUUGAGCAACCUAGGGGCGAGCGGAACAAAUGGUGGAGCGGUGAAAUGCGUAGAUAUCAUUUGGAACGCCAAUGAUGAAAACAGCUCGCUGGGGGUUUGCUGACGCUGAGACACGAAAGCCAGGGGAGCAAACGGG